rnacentral:rRNA from 1 species
GACGAACGCUGGCGGCGUGCUUAACACAUGCCAGUCGAACGGAAAGGCCCUGCUUUUGUGGGGUGCUCGAGUGGCGAACGGGUGAGUAACACGUGAGUAACCUGCCCUUGACUUUGGGAUAACUUCAGGAAACUGGGGCUAAUACCGGAUAGGAGCUCCUGCUGCAUGGUGGGGGUUGGAAAGUUUCGGCGGUUGGGGAUGGACUCGCGGCGUAUCAGCUUGUUGGUGGGGUAGUGGCUUACCAAGGCUUUGACGGGUAGCCGGCCUGAGAGGGUGACCGGCCACAUUGGGACUGAGAUACGGCCCAGACUCCUACGGGAGGCAGCAGUGGGGAAUAUUGCACAAUGGGCGGAAGCCUGAUGCAGCAACGCCGCGUGCGGGAUGACGGCCUUCGGGUUGUAAACCGCUUUCGCCUGUGACGAAGCGUGAGUGACGGUAAUGGGUAAAGAAGCACCGGCUAACUACGUG